ACGGAAGGCAGCAGUGGGGAAUAUUGGGCAAUGGGGGGAACCCUGACCCAGCAACGCCGCGUGGAGGAAGAAGGUCCUCGGAUUGUAAACCUCUUUCAGCAAGGAAGAAGAAAGUGACGGUACUUGCAGAAGAAGCCACGGCUAACUACGUGCCAGCAGCCGCGGUAAUACGUAGGUGGCGAGCGUUAUCCGGAAUUACUGGGUGUAAAGGGUGUGUAGGCGGGGAACCAAGUCAGAUGUGAAAAUUAUGGGCUCAACCCAUAACCUGCGUCUGAAACUGGCUCUCUUGAGAGUGGGAGAGGUAAACGGAAUUCCUGGUGUAGCGGUGAAAUGCGUAGAUAUCAGGAGGAACACCGGUGGCGAAGGCGGUUUACUGGACCACGACUGACGCUGAGACACGAAAGCGUGGGGAGCAAACAGGAUUAGAUACCCUGGUA
rnacentral:rRNA from 1 species